rnacentral:rRNA from 1 species
UACGUAGGGUCCGAGCGUUGUUCGGAAUUACUGGGCGUAAAGGGCUUGUAGGUGGCCAACUAAGUCAGACGUGAAAUCCCUCGGCUUAACCGGGGAACUGCGUCUGAUACUGGAUGGCUGGAGUGUGGGAGAGGGAUGCGGAAUUCCAGGUGUAGCGGUGAAAUGCGUAGAUAUCUGGAGGAACACCGGUGGCGAAGGCGGCAUCCUGGACCAUUACUGACACUGAAAAGCGAAAGCCAGGGGAGCAAACGGG